rnacentral:rRNA from 1 species
AGAGUUUGAUCAUGGCUCAGGAUGAACGCUAGCUACAGGCUUAACACAUGCAAGUCGAGGGGAAACGACAUCGAAAGCUUGCUUUUUGAUGGGCGUCGACCGGCGUACGGGUGAGUAACGCGUAUCCAACCUGCCUCAUACUCGGGGAUAGCCUUUCGAAAGAAAGAUUAAUAUCCGAUAGCAUAUAUUUCCCGCAUGGGUUUUAUAUUAAAGAAAUUCGGUAUGAGAUGGGGAUGCGUUCCAUUAGUUUGUUGGCGGGGUAACGGCCCACCAAGACUACGAUGGAUAGGGGUUCUGAGAGGAAGGUCCCCCACAUUGGAACUGAGACACGGUCCAAACUCCUACGGGAGGCAGCA